GAUGAAGAACGUAGCGAAAUGCGAUAAGUAAUGUGAAUUGCAGAAUUCAGUGAAUCAUCGAAUCUUUGAACGCACAUUGCGCCCGCCAGCAUUCUGGCGGGCAUGCCUAUUCGAGCGUCAUUUCAACCCUCGAGCCCCCCCGGGGGCCUCGGUGUUGGGGGACGGCACACCAGCCGCCCCCGAAAUGCAGUGGCGACCCCGCCGCAGCCUCCCCUGCGUAGUAGCACACACCUCGCACCGGAGCGCGGAGGCGGUCACGCCGUAAAACGCCCAACUUUCUUAGAGUUGACCUCGGAUCAGGUAGGAAUACCCGCUGAACUUAAGCAUAUCAAUAAGCGGAGGA
rnacentral:misc_RNA from 1 species